CUACGGGCCGCACCAGUGGGGGAUAUUGCACAAUGGGCGAAAGCCUGAUGCAGCAACGCCGCGUGAAGGAAGACGGUUUUCGGAUUGUAAACUUCUAUCAGCAGGGAAGAAAAUGACUGUACCUGACUAAGAAGCCCCGGCUAACUACGUGCCAGCAGCCGCGGUAAUACGUAGGGGGCAAGCGUUAUCCGGAAUUACUGGGUGUAAAGGGUACGUAGGCGGCUGACCAAGUCAGAUGUGAAAGCCCGGAGCUCAACUCCGGGACUGCAUUUGAAACUGGUCGGCUAGAGUGCAGGAGAGGAAAGUGGAAUUCCUAGUGUAGCGGUGAAAUGCGUAGAUAUUAGGAAGAACACCAGUGGCGAAGGCGGCUUUCUGGACUGUAACUGACGCUGAGGUGCGAAAGCGUGGGGAGCAAACAGGAUUAGAUACCCUAGUAGUC
rnacentral:rRNA from 1 species